rnacentral:lncRNA from 1 species
CUAUCAAUUUUCCUUUCAACAUAAUCUUCAAUUUUGUCACCCAAUUCACUACCUUUAGAAAUUAGAAUCCACAUCAGAACAAUCCGAUUCAAAUCUGGCCAAAUUAUAACUUCUCCUCCUUGGAAAUUAUCACCGCCGCAUGUGGAGUAGGAACAGAUCUAGAAGCAGCGGCAUCAACAAGAGCAACACGUGUUUAGCAUUUGGUGUAACACGACCGAAUAAAGAUGAGAAUGGGCGUGGAGGUUUAUCGGGUUUUAGCCGAGAAAUUGAAACAGGUACAGGUUGAGGGAAACUGAAUGGGUUUAUUGUUGUGAUGCAGAGAAAAAGGAGGAGAAGGUGAUUAUGAAGAUGAGAAAGUAUCGCAGUCGUUGAGAAUUNNNNNNNNNNNNNNNNNNNNNNNNNNNUUGCCGGUUCAGUGAUGAGUGGUGUGGAGAUCGGCGGCUUCGGUGUCGUCGGGAAGGAAUGAGCGAAGGUCGAGCUCCAUGGUAGGCACUUGAAGUGAAUUGGUCAAAUUGAUUUUGAUGAUAGCUUUGUCUUCCAAAAAAAUUUAGAAACCGAUCAACUAAUCAUUAUAGGAGCAAAUGAAAAUUGAUGUUGAAUCUGAUUUUUUGAGAACGACAUCAAACCAUCGCGUUUUCUCUGGUGUGGAACUGCUAAUUGUCUAUAUGCUGUUCCUGAAAAAGCUAAGAAGUUCUUCGUUCAAUUCUUAAUGUUCUGCUCGGUGAAGAUUGAAGAAAUUAUCAAUUGUUCCGAGUUGAAUUUUUGGAAAAUUUAAUAUACCAGAAUAGUUUUUCGGUGUUCUUGUUUUUUGUUAAAAGUUGUUCUUUCAAAUUAUCAAAUGAGAAAAACAAAAUUAGUACCGGAACACAUUGG